rnacentral:rRNA from 1 species
AAUUUGAAAUCUGGCCCUUCCGGGGUCCGAGUUGUAAUUUGUAGAGAGCGCUUCGGGCGAGGUCGCGGUCUAAGUCCAUUGGAACAUGGCGUCGUAGAGGGUGAGAAUCCCGUAUGCGACCGUGGACCGAGCCCAUGUGAAGCCUCUUCGACGAGUCGAGUUGUUUGGGAAUGCAGCUCAAAAUGGGUGGUAUAUUUCAUCUAAAGCUAAAUAUUGGCUGGAGACCGAUAGCGCACAAGUAGAGUGAUCGAAAGAUGAAAAGCACUUUGGAAAGAGAGUCAAACAGUACGUGAAAUUGUUGAAAGGGAAGCGCUUGCAACCAGACCUGCCCGGGGGCGAUCAGCCGCUGUUCUCAGCGGUGCACUCGUUCCCCGAUCAGGCCAGCAUCGGUUCCGGCGGUCGGACAAAGGUCCCGGGAAUGUAGCUCCCCUUGGGGAGUCUUAUAGCCCGGGGCGCAAUGCGGCCAGCCGGGACCGAGGACCGCGCUUCGGCUAGGAUGCUGGCGUAAUGGUUGUCAGCGACCC